CUGAUUCAAUUCACUAUUGGCAACUAGUAUGUAGCCUUAACUAUCACAAUUUCACGCCUACCCAGAAAUUUAUAAUAUACAGAAUCUUUUGAUUCAAUGAAUAGCGUCAAGGUCUCAUCGCUGUUCGUCAUCCUGAUAGGCAUCGAAGUCUACUCCAAAGGUACGCCCGGCCGCCAUAUACUUUAUCACACCAGGUUACCGUCAACCUUUUCCACAUAUGGAAAGAUGCAGCUGAAGGUAAGUCUAAGGAGGUGGGCAGUAGACGGAGAGGGAUUGAAUUGUGAAACCAGUAAAGGAAGAAAACAAGCUUACCAUGGCGAUCAAUGGCCGCACGGCGGCGGAGGGCGGCGGAGAGGGAAAGAGGGCCGAGGGGAGAGAAAC
rnacentral:lncRNA from 1 species